rnacentral:rRNA from 1 species
UGGGAUAACUCCGGAAACGGGCUAUACCGAGCUCGUUAGAACCGCAUGUCACAUAAAGGUGCUUCCGCUACCACUUACAGAUGGACCCGCGGCGCAUUAGCUAGUUGGUGAGGUAAUGGCUCACCAAGGCAACGAUGCGUAGCCGACCUGAGAGGUGAUCGGCCACACUGGGACUUGAGACAUCGGCCCAGACUCCUACGGGAGUGCAGCAGUAGGGAAUCUUCAGCAAUGGGACGAAAGUCUGACGCAGCAACGCAGCGUGAGUGAUGAAGGUGUCGGAUCGUAACAGAUAUCUUGUUACGCAAGAACAAGUACCGUCUCGAAUAGGGCGGUACCUUGACGGUACCUAACCAGAAAGCCACGGCUAACUACGUGCCAGCAGCACGCGGUAUACGUAGGUCGCAAGCGUCGUCCGGAAUUAUUGCGACGUAAAGGGCUCGCAGGCGAUUUCUUAAGUCUGAUGAUGAAAGCCCCGGCUCAACCGGGGAGCGUCAUUGGAAACUGGGGAACUUGAGUGCAGAAGAGGAGAGUGGAAUUCCAUCAGUGUAGCGGUGAAAUGCGUACAGAUGUGGAGGAACACCAGUGGCGAAGCGACUCUCUGGUCUGUAACUGACGCUGAGGAGCGAAAGCGUGGGGAGCGAACAGGAUUAGAUA